ACGAUAAUAGGUUAAGGGUAGACCCUGGCACUUCCACUGCCAUAGUGCGUGUUCGAAUCACGUUUAUCGUA
rnacentral:tRNA from 3 species